ACUCAAAGGAAUUGACGGGGGCCCGCACAAGCGGCGGAGCAUGUGGCUUAAUUCGAUGCAACGCGAAGAACCUUACCUGGGUUUGACAUGCAGGGAAAUCUCGUAGAGAUACGGGGUCCGCAAGGGCCUUGCACAGGUGGUGCAUGGCUGUCGUCAGCUCGUGUCGUGAGAUGUUGGGUUAAGUCCCGCAACGAGCGCAACCCUCGUCCUAUGUUGCCAGCGAAUAAUGUCGGGGACUCAUAGGAGACUGCCGGGGUCAACUCGGAGGAAGGUGGGGAUGACGUCAAGUCAUCAUGCCCCUUAUAUCCAGGGCUGCACACAUGCUACAAUGGCCGGUACAAAGGGCUGCGAUACCGCAAGGUGGAGCGAAUCCCAUAAAGCCGGUCUCAGUUCGGAUUGGGGUCUGCAACUCGACCCCAUGAAGUCGGAGUCGCUAGUAAUCGCAGAUCAGCAACGCUGCGGUGAAUACGUUCCCGGGCCUUGUACACACCGCCCGU
rnacentral:rRNA from 1 species